rnacentral:rRNA from 1 species
CAUCGUCAGCGGCGCUGGCACGCGGACGGCGAGCGAUGCAGCGCGCGCGACCUCGCGGUCGCGCGCGCGGGCACGCUACCGUCCGUUGCCUCGGCACCGUCGGCGUGCACUUCUCCCCUAGUAGGACGUCGCGACCCGUUGGGUGUCGGUCCACGGCCCGGGUGGGAGCCUGUCUCGCGCGCGUGCGCCCCUCGCGGGGCGCAUCCUCGCGCGGUUCAGACCCCCGGUCGCCCGACCGGCUGCCCGGCGGUACUCGCACGGUACAUGGCCGCAAGCACACAAGCGUAUCUCGGUUACGAUUACGAUGCGUCCGGGCCGUCGUCAGCGUGGCAAGUGGUUCCCGGUGCGAGCGGAUCCGAUGCCGCCAUCGAGCCUGGCCAGCUGUUUGCUCGACGGUGAGAGAGAGAGACGAGAGAGAGAAAAGAAAUUUUCCUUUUUUCUCGUCUCUCACCUAGGACCGGCCAAUCGAGAAAGAUACGCACACUCGCGCGUUUACCGGUCGGCGACGCUACUGCUUUGGGUACUUUCAGGACCCGUCUUGAAACACGGACCAAGGAGUCUAACAUGCGCGCGAGUCAUUGGGAAUGACUCAAGCCCAAAGGCGCAAUGAAAGUGAAGGUCGGCCUCGCGCCGACCGAGGGAGGAUGGGCCGCGUCCUCGCAGGGCGCG